AAUUUUUGGGUGUGACAUCAGAGAACAAAUUGUACAUGUUAAAAUACUCUCUUUUAACACCUGUAAUAAAUGUAUAUCAUACCAGGAAAUAAAACCUGAUACUAAGAUGUUGGCUGUAAGCAGCAUAGAAAAAAAUAUAUGGUGUUUGGAUGAAAAUGGAACUAUAUUGAUUUACAGCCCAUCAAAGAUUGAGAAAAUUGAUGAGUUUUGUUUAUUGGUGAAUACAAUAGAUGUUGUACACUC